UACGUAGGGGGCAAGCGUUGUCCGGAAUUAUUGGGCGUAAAGCGCGCGCAGGCGGCUUCUUAAGUCUGAUGUGAAAGCCCCGGGCUCAACCUGGGAAUUGCAGUGGAUACUGGGAAGCUAGAGUGCGGUAGAGGGUAGUGGAAUUCCCGGUGUAGCGGUGAAAUGCGUAGAGAUCGGGAGGAACACCAGUGGCGAAGGCGGCUACCUGGACCAGCACUGACACUGAGUCACGAAAGCGUGGGGGAGCAAACAGG
rnacentral:rRNA from 1 species